rnacentral:rRNA from 1 species
CCAUGCGAGUCAUUGUAGUAAUACAAGGCAGACGGCUCAGUAACGCGUAGUCAACCUAACCUAUGGACGGGAAUAACCUCGGGAAACUGAGUAUAAUGCCCGAUAGAACAUUAUGCCUGGAAUGGUUUAUGUUCCAAAUGAUUUAUCGCCGUAGGAUGGGACUGCGGCCUAUCAGUUUGUUGGUGAGGUAAUGGCCCACCAAGACUAUUACAGGUACGGGCUCUGAGAGGAGUAGCCCGGAGAUGGGUACUGAGACACGGACCCAGGCCCUAUGGGGCGCAGCAGGCGAGAAAACUUUGCAAUGUGCGAAAGCACGACAAGGUUAAUCCGAGUGGUUUCUGCUAAAGGAACCUUUUGUCGGUCCUAGAAACACCGAUGAAUAAGGGGUGGGCAAGUUCUGGUGUCAGCCGCCGCGGUAAAACCAGCACCUCAAGUGGUCAGGAUGAUUAUUGGGCCUAAAGCAUCCGUAGCCGGCUCUAUAAGUUUUCGGUUAAAUCUGUACGCUCAACGUACAGGCUGCCGGGAAUACUGUAGAGCUAGGGAGUGGGAGAGGUAGACGGUACUCGGUAGGAAGGGGUAAAAUCCUUUGAUCUAUUGAUGACCACCUGUGGCGAAGGCGGUCUACCAGAACACGUCCGACGGUGA